rnacentral:rRNA from 1 species
GUUUUGAUUUCCCAAGAGCACAAGCUCAGACAGAACAAACACCGGGGGAAGUGAAACAUCUCAGUACCCCGAGGAAGACUGAUCAACCGAGACUCCGGCAGUAGAUGUGAUCGACCCCGGACCAAACCUCUCUUUUUUUGGUGAAAAACCCCAAAGAAGGUCGACCUUCUUCUUUUCUUGAACCGUGGUGGAAUCCCGGGCCAAAGAAGGUGAAAGCCCUGUACAGGAAAGACUGGGUCGACAGAGAAAAGAAUGAGUACAUCGGAUCACACCGAUGGAAGACAGGGGGACCACCCUCUGAAGGUUGGAUACCUAGAAGAACCGAUAGCGCAGGAUGUACCGUGAGGGAAGGGUGAAAAGAACCGAUCCGGAAGACUUCUUCCGAAGAAUGAGGACUUGAAAAGAACCUGAAUCCUGGUGCACAUCAAACGGUCGGAGCCAGACAUGGUGACGGCGUACCUUUUGCAUAAUGGGUCAGCGAGUGUAGAUUCACCUGUACAAAAAAAAACCAAGGCUUGAGCCCAAAGGUGGAGGCAGGAGGAAACCCGAGUUUACAAAGGCUUCUUUCUUGGUUUUCAAAGAAAGGAUUUUCUCUUGAGCGUAUGCGAUAAGGGUUUUUUCUUUCUUUUCUGUGUAUAGGGGGUGUACGACCCGAAGCCAGGCGAGCUUUCCAUCUCCAGGUUGAAGUCGAAAGUCUUUCGAUGGAGGACCGAACCGGUGAAUGUGGCAAAAUUCUCGGAUGAGGGGUGGAAAGGAGUGAAAGGCUUACCAAGCCUGGUGAUAGCUGGUUCUCCGCGAAAUCUAUUUAGGUAGAGCGUCGAUCGAAUACUCUUGGGGGUAGAGCACUGACUGGGCUAGGGGUCCUCACCGGAUUACCAAACCUUAUCAAACUCCGAAUACCAAGAAGUACUAAUCGGCAGACACACGGCGGGUGCUAACGUCCGUCGUGGAGAGGGAAACAACCCUGACCGCCAGUUAAGGUCCCUAAGUUAUGGCUAAGUGGGAAAGGAUGUAGAACUCCCAAAACAACCAGGAUGUUGGCUUAGAAGCAGCCAUCAUUUAAAGAAAGCGUAACAGCUCACUCAUCAAGCGAUCCUGCGCCGAAAAUGUAACGGGGCUAAAGCCAUUUACCGAAAUUGUGGGCUCGAAAGAGCGGUAGCGGAGCGUUCCGUAAGCCUGCGAAGGUGCACUGCGAGGUGUGCUGGAGGUAUCGGAAGUGAGAAUGUUGACAUGAGUAGCGA